rnacentral:rRNA from 1 species
GAUCCUGGCUCAGGACGAACGCUGGCGGCGUGCUUAACACAUGCAAGUCGAACGCUGAAGCUCAGCUUGCUGGGUGGAUGAGUGGCGAAUGGGUGAGUAACACGUGAGUAACCUGCCCUCUUCUUUGGGAUAACGCCCGGAAACGGGUGCUAAUACUGGAUAUUCACUGAUCUUCGCAUGGGGGUUGGUGGAAAGGUUUUUUCUGGUGGGGGAUGGGCUCGCGGCCUAUCAGCUUGUUGGUGGGG